CGAGUAACACGUAGUCAACAUAACCAAAGGACGUGGAUAAACUCGGGAAACUGAGGCUAAACCGCGAUAGUUCAAGAUACCUGGAAUGGUUUUUGAUCAAAAUCUAUAUGGCCUUUGGAUUGGACUGCGUCCGAUCAGGCUGUUGGUGAGGUAAUGGCCCACCAAACCUAUAACCGGUACGGGCUCUGAGAGGAGGAGCCCGGAGAUGGGUACUGAGAUAAGGACCCAGGCCCUAUGGGGCGCAGCAGGCGCGAAACUCUUGGCAAUAGGCGAAAGUUUGACCAGGGUUACUCUGAGUGACUUUCGGUUAAGAAAGUCUUUUGACACUCUAAAAAUUGGUGGUAGAAUAGGGGGUGGGC
rnacentral:rRNA from 1 species